ACUUUCGGUUUCACUUCAAAAAAGAGAGUGUGUGAGCUGCAGUGUUGCGCAGUUUUCUGAUACUUGCACACAGCUCGCGUUUCUUCUUAACAUAAAGUGUUUGAUCAGCGGCUUCGUGUUUCAGCAUCACUGUGAUGUCAGACUGUGACACUGAAUUAUGGCAUCGCGCAGUUUAGAGCCGUAACGAAAAGUCAGAGCAUAAAAAUCGUUAGCAGUGAAAUCGGAGCAGCAGAUGUAACCUGAGUUGUUACCUGUGCAGCAGCAAAGGCGGGGGCAAGUACAUCGGCGCUCUGUCUGCGGGACACACUGGAUACAUGUAAUAGACAUCUGGCACGUUGAUGAACGGAGCAACACCCGAAUCUUGGACCAGCUGAUGUUUGCUGGAGCCACAGCUGUAAAGCCGCUGGUCAUGAUGUUGGUUUGGUUAUCUGUUGAGAGGAAACAUGAAGAUGAAACCAGGAGAUGUCCUUACUGAAUCAUCAGAGCUGAACAGGGGAGAUGGGGAUUCUUAAGUUAAACGCCUCCAAGAAGCAGCGGAAGACGGUCAGUGACCUGAAGAAAGGAGCGCUGAAGCUGUUUCCCAAGAAAGGAUAUCUUCUGGGUGAAAUCCGGCUGGUUGUCGCAGGGAAACCGCUGGAUGAUGAAUCUGCAUCUCUGUCUGAAUAUAGGAUCAAACCCUCGUCUGUGGUGCAGAUGGUGGCGAAGGUCCACGGUGGCUGAUCAUCACUGAUGCACUCGACUGCAUCCACAAGACUCACAGCAGGACUGAAAUAUGAGACACCAAAGGACAAAAUCCAUCAUCUUUGGCUCUUUCAAGACUUGUCCCAUACCUGCUUAGAGUUCAGCACUAAUUAAUUAUGAUGAGCUGUAAAUGAUGAAUAAUUAGGAUGUAAUAAUGUAUUUUGUGUUUAUUUCCCUGCUAAGCUGUGUAACUUGCUAUUUGUUGGUAUAUCAAAAAUAACUAUGAAUGUAUAUCAUUUGAGAUAUUUUUCCAUCUUAUUCAAUAAUAAAAAAUUUUUUUCUUUUUUUACAGUUUGUGUUCUGAAAACUAAUCUCAAUAGUCCAUUACUACAGAUUCCACACUGCUACACGCAGGCAUUAAAAAUCUGUUUGUUUCUAAUAGGCACCACCUAUCACUGCUCUAAUUCACAUACCUGAUAUACAGAGUAAUAUGAAGAAGAGGUGGCUGGUGGCUAAAGGUGAAAAUGCAAACCGUGGGGUUAUUCUGUCUGCUUGGGAUCGGAACAGCAUCCAGCUACAGCUCAGGACCGCUUCCUCAUCGGUCUCUGCCAUGACACCCAGCCACAGUUUCCUUUUGGACUGUUGGGUACUGCCUUUAGAUUGCAGUUGCUGUUAGGCAAUAUUAUUACCACACCAGUUUCUGCUGGUGGCUUAUGCAGUAUAGCAGUUCAUCUACUAAUCAGAAGGCUGGUGGUUCAACCCAAAGCAGACAGUGCAUAAAAUGAAGCUUUUGAGGCCUCACGGUCCUCUGAUGUGAACAUAAAUGAAAUCUGUGGGAGGAUCCUAAACAUGUUGAUCUGUCUUUAACUGGGCAGACCUCAUAUCAUAGUAAAGCCAUUUCUUACCUGCACAAAUAUAUAUUUUUGCCACUUUGCUGUUGUUUUGAUUAUGUUGUCUUCAACACACUUCUCAAUAUGGCUUGGGUUUUCCCCUCGCGGCACCCUGACAUUUGUUGCCUUUGUUUCCUUGAUUGCGGCAUCUACGUUGAAUCCUUUUUCAUUACUCAGCUCGUGCCGCACUCAGCUUUGUCAUUCUGUGACUCUCUUUCCUCACUGCAGUCCCAAAACAACCCUUCUCUCUGCUGUAGCAGAUUCUCAGUCCCUCUCUUUCAGCUGUCCUUUCAGUUUUCUCUGAAUUAUCACCAUUCACGUGAUAUCCUUCUCAGGUUUAGAAUGAGCAGUAAACACAGAAGCUGUUGUCUGCACACACCAGGAAAUGCCCUAGAUUGUUUUUUAUUUAUUCGUUAUCACUUUCGGUUUCUCUCCACCAGCUACGAAAACUCAUGCAACUGCAGAUUAGCAGCCAGGAUUAUUUUGUACAUUUUAUUUUAUGUAAUCAGUGUUAAUUCUGCAGCGAGUCCAGGUUUAAUAUCUUAUUUUGUGCAUUUAUUGGUUUUAUCACUCUACUUUUGGUACCUUGCACCAUGUAGCCAAAGUUGUGGAAAGUACCCGAUCAACCAAUCAGCUUCACUGGGCUGGCUUAUCAACUGGAUUUAUUGUCUUGUUUGGAGAGAUUGAAAUGGUUAUUGUGUUACUUUUGCCAUUGUGGUGUUAUGGAUGUGUAUCAAACUGGAUAAAAAAAUGAUGUGAUAAUAAGAUUACUGAUGAAUCCACUCAUACCUAUCAUUUGGCAAGACAACCAGGAUGUGAAACAGCAAAAAAACCAAACCAAACAUUGUUCUGGUUACAUAACACACAUUGGUGCGGGUGUAUUAGGUAGUUUCCAGUUUUCAUCUCAAUGACAGCAUCAUGCUUGAUAAAGUGAUUCAACUCGAAACUGAGCAAGCAUGCAUUAUGAUGAGCAUUAUUUCUAUGUUUGAAAGUUAUUUUAAUUUUCUGGUUUACAUGUCAUCUUUGGUUGCAUAUUUAAAUCUUAUUGCAUAUUUUCUGUAAUACCCUUCUGCUGAAAACAAUGCAGCAAAUGUUCCUCUUUGUGCCACUUAACCAGCAUUUAGGAUAAAGGUGGAUCUGUGGGGAAUUUUAUCCGCAACCUAUUCAUGCCGGGAAAACAAGGCUUUAAUUAUGGCUUUAAAUAACUGAAACUAAGUAAAAUAUACUAUCUCAUU